rnacentral:lncRNA from 1 species
AUGAUUUUACUGAGCCUGAGGUCGGUAUUCAGUUCAAAGAUGAAAAAGAAGUGUACGAUUUUUAUGCAAGAUAUGCUUAUGCCUUGGGUUUUCCAAUUAGAAAGAGGAGUUUGACGAAGGAUGUUUUGAUUUUCACAUUAGGUCACGCGAUCCCGUAUAGCUAUUCAUAUUUACCACAUCAUGGUGGGACCAUUUGAAUUCAAGUGAACAGACAAUGUACUGAUGCAAUUAUUUCUCUCACCUUCAUUUUUGAUAUGG